rnacentral:rRNA from 1 species
AUUGAACGCUGGCGGCAGGCUAACACAUGCAAGUCGCACGAGUGGCGGAAGGGUGAGUAAUGUCUGGGAAACUGCCCGAUGGAGGGGGAUAACUACUGGGAACGGUAGCUAAUUCCGCCUACCAUCGGAUGUGCCCAGAUGGGAUUAGCUAGUAGGUGGGGUAACGGCUCACCUAGGCGACGAUCCCUAGCUGGUCUGAGCGGUUGACAAGCCACACUGGAACGGCGAAACGGUCCAGACUCCUACGGGAGGCAUCAGUGGGGAAUAUUGCACAAGGGGGGCAAGCCUGAUGCAGCCAUGCCGCGUGUAUGAAGAAGGCCUUCGGGUUGUAAAGUACUUUCAGCGAGGAGGCGUUACUCGCAGAAGAAGCACCGGCUAACUCCGUGCCAGCAGCCGCGGUAAUUC